rnacentral:tRNA from 1 species
UGGGUUGUGGCUCAGCAGUAGAGCGCUUGCCUAGCAAGUGUGAAGCCCUGGGUUCAAUCCUCAGCACCACAC